GUAAAUAAUUAAGGGCGUAUGGUGGAUGCCUAGGCUCUCAGAGGCGAUGAAGGACGUGAUAAGCUGCGAAAAGCUCCGUUUAGGUGCAAAUAACCUUUGAUGCGGAGAUUUCCGAAUGGGAUAACCCAAUAUGUUGAAGACAUAUUAUACCGUAAGGUAGGCAAACGCAGGGAACUGAAACAUCUAAGUACCUGCAGGAGAAGAAAACAAAAGUGAUUCCCCCAGUAGCGGCGAGCGACCGGGGAUAAGCCCAAACCGUUAUUGUUUCGGCAGUAGCGGGGUAGUAGGACUGCGACAUUGAUGAAAUAAAUGAAAUGGAACACUUUGGAAAAUGUGAUCACAGAGGGUGAUAAUCCCGUACAUGCAAGUUUAUGAAUCAUAGCAGACUCCUGAGUAAGUCGGGACACGUGUAAUCCUGACCGAAUCCGCCGGGACCAUCCGGCAAGGCUAAAUACUCCUGAGAGACCGAUAGUGAACCAGUACCGUGAGGGAAAGGUGAAAAGCACUUCGAACAGAAGAGUGAAAUAGUCCCUGAACCCAUACGCCUACAAGCUGUCGGAGCCGCUUCGUGCGGUGACGGCGUGCCUUUUGCAUAAUGAGCCUACGAGUUACUCAUCACCAGCGAGGUUAAGUACUUCAGGUACGUAAGCCGAAGCGAAAGCGAGUCUGAAUAGGGCGUCAAGUUGGUGGUGGUAGACGCGAAACCUUAGUGAUCUACCCAUGGGCAGGGUGAAGGUUUGGUAACACAAACUGGAGGCCCGAACCGGUAAACGUUGAAAAGUUUUCGGAUGACCUGUGGGUAGGGGUGAAAGGCCAAUCAAACUGGGAAAUAGCUCGUACUCUCCGAAAUGCAUUUAGGUGCAGCCUCUGUUGUUUUGUUCUAGAGGUAGAGCUACUGAUUGGAUGCGAGGGCUUCACCGCCUAUCAAAUCCGGCCAAACUCCGAAUGCUAGAACAUGAAGACAGGGAGUGAGCCAGCGGGUGCUAAGGUCCGUUGACGAAAGAGGGAGAACUCAGACCAUCAGCUAAGGUCCCCAAUUAUAUGCUAAGUUGGAAUUAAAACGGGGUGGGACUGCUUAGACAGCUAGGAUGUUGGCUUGGAAGCAGCCAUUCAUUUAAAGAGUGCGUAACAGCUCACUAGUCGAGCGGUCCUGCAUGGAUAAUACGCGGGCAUAAGCAUAUAACCGAAGCUAUGGGAUUGUAGAUGAUACAAUCGGUAGGAGAGCAUUCCAUUCAGCAUAGAAGCAGUACCGUGAGGUAUUGUGGAGCGGAUGGAAAAGCAAAUGUAGGCAUAAGUAACGAUAAUGCGGGUGAGAACCCCGCACGCCGAAAGAUCAAGGAUUCCCCGGCAAUGUCAAUCAUCCGGGGGUAAGUCGGAUCCUAAGGGUAAGCCGAGUGGCGAUCCCGAUGGUAAACAGGUUAAUAUUCCUGUACUGAUCAUAACUGCGAUGCAGCGACGCAGAGGUGACACUGCUGCGUACUGACGGAAUAGUACGUUGAAACCCGUAUUCUUUGAUACCGGUAGUGAAGCACGCCGGUAGAGAUGAAAGGUGAUAGUACCGCAAUGCUUCGGUUGCGCGGAUAACGCAGGUAAGCUGACUGCCAAGAAAACCUGCUAAGCUUCAGGUAAUGAUCAUCCGUACUGUAAACGGACACACGUGAUCAGGUAGAAAAUACUAAGGCGCUCGAGAGAUUCAUGGUUAAGGAACUAGGCAAAAUGGUCCUGUAACUUCGGGAUAAAGGACGCUCUUGUGAAAGAGCCGCAGAUAAUAGGCCCAGGCGACUGUUUACCAAAAACACAUGGCUAUGCUAAUUCGCAAGAAGAUGUAUAUGGCCUGACACCUGCCCGGUGCCGGAAGGUUAAGAGGAGAGCUCAGAGGCAACUCGAAGGUUUGAAUUGAAGCCCCGGUAAACGGCGGCCGUAACUAUAACGGUCCUAAGGUAGCGAAAUUCCUUGUCAGGUAAG
rnacentral:rRNA from 1 species